rnacentral:rRNA from 1 species
GGUUAAAAGGCUCGUAGUUGGAUUUCUGUCGAAGACUGCCGGUCCGCUCUAUGAGCGUGUAUCUAGUUAGGCUUUGGCAUCCUCUUGAAGAACGUUGCUGUGCUUAAUUGCAUGGUGCGGUAUUCAAGACUUUUACUUUGAGGAAAUUAGAGUGUUCACGGCAGGCAAGCGCCUUGAAUACAUUAGCAUGGAAUAAUAAUAUAGGAUCGCGAUUCUAUUUUGUUGGUUUCUAGAAUCACGAUAAUGAUUAAUAGGGAUAAUUGGGGGCAUUUGUAUUAACGCGUCAGAGGUGGAAUUCUUGGAUUGCGUUACGACAAACUACUGCGAAAGCAUUUGCCAAGGAUGUUUUCAUUGAUCAAGAACGAAAGUAUGGGGAUCGAAGAUGAUA